rnacentral:rRNA from 1 species
CGUGUAGGCGGCUCAUCAAGUCUGGUGUGAAAUCGCAGGGCUUAACCCUGCAUAUGCGCUGGAAACUGGUGGGCUUGAGUUCUUGAGGGGAAGCUGGAAUUCCAGGUGUAGGGGUGAAAUCUGUAGAUAUCUGGAAGAACACCGGUGGCGAAGGCGAGCUUCUAUCAGAGGACUGACGCUGAGGCGCGAAAGCAUGGGGAGCAAACAGGAUUAGAUACCCUGGUAGUCCACGCUGUAAACGAUGUGCACUAGGCGUGGGGCCCGUACGGGUUCUGUGCCGUAGUUAACGUGUUAAGUGCACCGCCUGGGGAGUAUGCUCGCAAGGGUGAA